GACGAACGCUGGCGGCAUGCCUAAUACAUGCAAGUCGAGCGGACUUGAUGAGAAGCUUGCUUCUCAGAUAGUUAGCGGCGGACGGGUGAGUAACACGUAGGCAACCUGCCCUCAAGCUUGGGACAACUACCGGAAACGGUAGCUAAUACCGAAUACUUGUUUUCUUCGCCUGAAGGAAACUGGAAAGAUGGAGUAAUCUGUCACUUGGGGAUGGGGCUGCGGCGCAUUAGCUAGUUGGUGAGGUAACGGCUCACCAAGGCGACGAUGCGUAGCCGACCUGAGAGGGUGAUCGGCCACACUGGGACUGAGACACGGCCCAGACUCCUACGGGAGGCAGCAGUAGGGAAUCUUCCGCAAUGGGCGAAAGCCUGACGGAGCAAUGCCGCGUGAGUGAUGAAGGUUUUCGGAUCGUAAAGCUCUGUUGCCAGGGAAGAACGCUUGGGAGAGUAACUGCUCCCAAGGUGACGGUACCUGAGAAGAAAGCCCCGGCUAACUACGUGCCAGCCGCCGCCGUAA
rnacentral:rRNA from 1 species